CUGAUGGUUUGAGCUGGUAAAGGUUUGGGGUUUGUUUUGUCCACUGAAGAUACAGGGAAGUUAUUGAACUGGUGGGAGAUUAAAGAGUGUUUGAAGUGUCUGUGAUGAAUAAGAAAUCGGGUUUGUGUUGGGUUCGAGUUUACAUCCAGUGAAACGCAAGAUUUAAUGCCCAAAAACCAGUCAAGGGAAGGAGAUUGAUGGUUUUAGAAACCAGUAUAUGGUAAUCUCUCCAAUAUCAGAUUCGUGCACACAGGAUGUUCGACAAAAAGUCUGAACCACUAUCAAGCUGAGUUUCAACAGGCUAGCCAUGGAGAGGGAACCCACCAGUUUUUAUACACACGAUGUGUAGAAAAGCUGAACUACUGCCAGUUAUCCUUUCAAACAAUAUAAUAGGUAGAUAUCCAUUUUAAGUUAUCUCAGUGGAAGUUAUUAUUUCGUGAACCUUUUUAGUGACCGUUUCUUAAUGUUGAAAACUGAUGUUUAUGUGGUAUUGUGGAAUCCUUUGUUGGAGGAGGAGUAAUUGUUUGAAGAGGACAAUUCAAAAUUGGAGGAGGAGUAAUUGUUUGAAGGGGACACCAAGAAUUGGUAAACCCCAAGAGCGCACAUUGACUUGAGAGAAACAAUUUAAGGAUAUCUGGGUUUGUGAUUUCACUUUAAAUUUUCAUAUGAAUGGAGAAAACUUGGAGAUUCAAUGGUUUUGGGUUACAAUUACGUUUCUUAUUACUUCUUUUAUGCCUCUUCAACCAGAAUUUUGAGCUUUGUCAUUCUCUCAAUGAUGAAGGAUUGGCACUGUUGAGAUUUAAAGAUGGAAUUGUUAGUGAUCCCUAUGGUGCUUUAUUGGAUUGGAGACAAAAUGAGGAUGAGGAAAAUCAAAACCCAUGUUCUUGGUUUGGUGUUCGAUGUUCUCAUCAUGAUCGACAGAAGAUUCCAGUCAAUUUCCAAAAAACAUCAAUAAUUAUUAAAAGUUUGACACUAUGAUUGAAUGCAAGUGCUUUAGUGACAACCUGAUAAGACACUAUAGUUCUUUGUCGAGGAACUUAAGAGGUCUUUGUCUCGGAGGAACCCUUGCUCCAGAAGUUGGGAGCCUCAUUCACAUUAAAUCAAUUAUUUUGGCGGAAUAAUUCUUUUACGGGUACAAUCCCUGAAGAGAUCGAGGAACUGAAGGAGUUGGAGGUGUUAGACUUGGGAUACAAUAAUUUUGCAGGACCUGUUCCUUCUGACCUAGGAAGUAACCUUUCCUUGGCAACCCUUGCAGCUUACUUGACCACAACAGAUUCCUAGGUAGCAUUUCCACGUAUCUCCGUGAGCUGUAAUUGAUUUCUGAACUUCAGCUAGAUAAGAAUCAGCUAUCUGAUGCUACCCAGGGUUCAUCAUGCAAUAGAGGACCUCUUUCAUGGCCAAAUGAGGAAGUUGGAUAUGUAUCUUCAAGAAGGCAGCUCCCACAAAGGAAGUUUGAUAUGAAGUGGUUACAGAAUCUUGCCGUUUCCAAAUCAUAUCGCAGAUGAGCAUUUUUUUAAUUUGGUUUGUGGUCAUAUCUCGAUAUCACCACAUUUGUUGCUUGCUUGGUGGUCAAAAACUCAUGUUAUCUGAUUCUUUGAUUUCCCUUGAUAUCUUAAGUAGUUAAGUUGUACUUAAAUUAUUCUUUCCUCCAAUAUGCUGUA